GGUCCCAACUACACUGCGUGGCUUCCCCCCGGACCCGCGGGCCGCAGCGGCGGAAGGAUCAGGUGCGGGGUCGGGCUGGGGCCGCCUGACCACGCGCGGGCCAGCUCAGGGGCUGGAAACCGGGCAGCUGACGGCGAAGCGCCCGCGGCUGCGCUCCUUACCUGCGCUGCUCUCCGCGGUCCGGCGGCGCGGACCGGCGCCGCAAGUCCCGUCGUCCCAGGCGGAAGGGCCGCCGUCUUCUCCCCGGACAGCGCGGGCCGCGGCUCCGUCUUGCGUCCUCGGCGGCCACCGCGGCGACUGCGCUCCCGGGCGGGAGGGCCCACAUCCCCGCGCGGGCUUGGGGCGCCCGGGACCCGGCGCCGGGCGGGCGGGGGUCGCAGACCUCGGCGGGGCGCGCGGGGCCCCCGAGGCGUCUCGCCGGCCCGCCCGCCCACCCGGCGCGCGCGUCCACGUGCCAACCCCGCGUCACGUCCCCGUGGGUCGCUGGGCCCCGGCCCGUCUCCUCUGCCGCCGCGGGGGCGCCUUCCAGCCGUUCCCGGUGCAGCGGCGUCGCGUCACGCAGUGCGGGUCGGAGCUCCGGUGUUCCCGCCUCGGCCCUCGUCCCACGAGGAAAAAAGAGCUGGCAAUAGUCUCCUGCUGGGGAUGGUGACAGCGUCAAGGACCCAGAGCACGUGCCAUGAUUUCCCUGAUGGAAAAGUUACAGAUAGAUGUUCCACAGACAUCACCUGUCUUCAUGAUCAAGAAGUUCCA
ensembl:lncRNA